rnacentral:rRNA from 1 species
GAGUUUGAUCGUGGCUCAGGAUGAACGCUGGCGGCGUGCCUAAUACAUGCAAGUCGUACGAACAGCGGAAAGUGCUUGCACUUUCCAAGUAAGUGGCGAACGGGUGAGUAACACGUGAAUAACCUACCUCAAAGUCUGGGGAUAACCAUUGGAAACAGUGACUAAUACCGGAUAAAACCUAGUAGCACAUGCUACAAGGUUAAAAGCUGCGUUUGCAGCGCUUUAAGAUGGAUUCGCGGUGCAUUAGUAG